rnacentral:rRNA from 1 species
CAGUAGCCGCGGUAAUACGAAGGGUGCAAGCGUUACUCGGAAUUACUGGGCGUAAAGCGUGCGUAGGUGGUGGUUUAAGUCCGUUGUGAAAGCCCUGGGCUCAACCUGGGAAUUGCAGUGGAUACUGGGUCACUAGAGUGUGGUAGAGGAUAGUGGAAUUUCCGGUGUAGCAGUGAAAUGCGUAGAGAUCGGAAGGAACAUCUGUGGCGAAGGCGACUAUCUGGGCCAACACUGACACUGAGGCACGAAAGCGUGGGGAGCAAACAAGAUUAGAUACCCGGGUAGUCCCUGUCUCUUAUAC